rnacentral:rRNA from 1 species
UAAGGGUGCGUAGGCGGCCUGUUAAGUCAGGGGUGAAAGACGGUAGCUCAACUAUCGCAGUGCCCUUGAUACUGAUGGGCUUGAAUUGACUAGAGGUAGGCGGAAUGUGACAAGUAGCGGUGAAAUGCAUAGAUAUGUCACAGAACACCGAUUGCGAAGGCAGCUUACUAUGGUCUUAUUGACGCUGAGGCACGAAAGCGUGGGGAUCAAACAGGAUUAGAUACCCUGGU